rnacentral:rRNA from 1 species
UGGGGAAUAUUGGACAAUGGGCGAAGGCCUGAUCCAGCCAUGCCGCGUGUGUGAAGAAGGUCUUCGGAUUGUAAAGCACUUUAAGUUGGGAGGAAGGGCAGUUACCUAAUACGUGAUUGUUUUGACGUUACCGACAGAAUAAGCACCGGCUAACUCUGUGCCAGCAGCCGCGGUAAUACAGAGGGUGCAAGCGUUAAUCGGAAUUACUGGGCGUAAAGCGCGCGUAGGUGGUUAGUUAAGUUGGAUGUGAAAUCCCCGGGCUCAACCUGGGAACUGCAUUCAAAACUGACUGACUAGAGUAUGGUAGAGGGUGGUGGAAUUUCCUGUGUAGCGGUGAAAUGCGUAGAUAUAGGAAGGAACACCAGUGGCGAAGGCGACCACCUGGACUCAAACUGACGCUGAGGUACGAAAGCGUGGGUAGCAAA